CAGAUUGUCUUGACCAUGUCUACAUGCAGUUGCACAGCUGUACCUAAUUGAGUGUCUGGACUGUCUGACACACUCUCCUCAUCGUCCGUUCCACCUCCACUGAAGGGUACACAACUCUAUCAUCUGUAAAAAGUCCUGUGCCCUUGCCUCGGGAGCUGAUAUUUCCCAUGCCAGACCAAGCAAGUCCUCUGUCCACAGAGUCAACCAUCAGAGUACCAGGACUGUCUGACACACUCUCCUCAUCGUCCGUUCCACCUCCACUGAAGGGUACACAAGUA